rnacentral:lncRNA from 1 species
AAAAACUUAGAUAAAAGGGGACAUAAAACAGAGGGAAUGAAAAAAAAAAAGGAAAAUAGUGAGAAGAGAAGAGGAAAAGUAAGAGGAAAACAAAACAUUUCCAACACUUUCUAUUUCCAUAACACACGCACACAAGUCACAAACUGGACGGAGAAAAAAAAGGAAAAGGGUUACAAUUAGUUAAUGUCGGGUUCUUGUUCGAGUUUUUGGUGAUGGUGUUCUUGCUUCUUUUCAAGGUUUAAUUCAUCACGCAGGUUUCUAUCAAAUUUCGUAUUAUUAAUUUUAUAAGUUUUAUUAUAAAUCGAAGAAUGAAUGAAGUUAUUUCAAUGACUUCUUAUAUUAUUUAGUGUGUUUAGUUUUCUAUUUUUAUGUAAUACAUGUUUUAUGUCUUUAUUUGUAAUUCGAUUGUUGUUUUCUAAAUAAUAUUAAUUAGAUUGACUUUAAAUUUUAAAUGAGAUGAUUUUUUAAAGUAGGUGUUUAGAUAUACGGAAACAAUAAAUUGUGUUAGUUGACAUGCAAUUAAUAUGUAAUGGUGUUAUAAAUUAUAACUUAGUAUUCAUGUAUACAUGCACUAAAAGUUUUUUUAAAAAAAGGGAAUAAAAAAAAAGUGUAAUACUGUACAAUUGAAAGUUAAUGUAUUAUUGUUACUGUUGUAAUUUAUUUGAAUAAUUGUCUUUGUAAUAUAUUGUUAUUUUAUAAGUAUUUGUUUUACCGUUAUAGUUUGCAUGCAUAGUUGUUAUUAUAUUAUAAUGUUAUUCUAAAAGUGUGUGUUUGAUAUAAAAAAAAUGGCAUCUUCAUGAUGAAUUUCAUCAGUGCUUUUAAAAAAAAUAUUCAAAUUUGUGAUAAAAAUUAAUAAGAAAUAUUUGCCUGGCCAUAAAUUUUUCUAAUUAAAGUUAAACAAAAAAGAAGGAAAAUUUCAAAGUUAAUUUAUUUUUGUUUAUAAAAAAUAAUAUUCUUUAAUUUAUUUUUUCUAUAAAAAAUACUAUUAUUUUUAUGACUAACUAAAAUAGAGAAGAUGUGAGACAAAAAUGAUCUCAAAUUUUUAAGAGUCAAACCAAUGCAAUUUAACGCUAGGCAAAUUUUAGACACGUUCAAAAUUUUCGUCUCAAUUAAGAAUGCGGCGUACGCAUCUUUUCGAGAUAUUUAAAUUCAAGGAUGCAAUAACGCACUUUGAAGAAUAUUUUUCUAGAAUUAGUUUUCCACCGAAUUAUUUAACAUAAAAGACAUAGGUAGCUAUUUUCAGUAUAAUAAAAAAUGAGCGAAAUCAGGCCUUAACACAAUUUAUCAAAGUAGUUUAAGUUAAGUAAAAGUCAAUAAAGCGACCGUGCUAGAACCACGGAACUCGAGGGAUGCCUCACACCUUCCCCUCGGUCAACAGAAUUCCUUACCCGGUCUUCUGUUUUCGUAAACGAACAAAGAGUCAUUUUUUUUACUAGGAAUUCAAAAGGUGACUUGGAACACCAUAACUCAAUUCCAAGUGGCGACUCUAUUAAUAAACUAAUCUCUAUUCAAUACCGUCACUUUAAUUGGAAAACCCCUUUCGACUCGAUCUUCGAGCGAAAAAAGGGUGUGACAUCUUUGGCGACUCCGCUGGGGAAUAAUAAGAAUUCGAGCUUUUUAUAUUGACUUAUACUUGCUUUAAUUAUUGUUGAUAUUGUGUUUGUUGUCCUUAUGUGCUACUUGUCGCUUAUUUACCGCUUUGAUAUUGAUUGAACUGUAUUAUAUACUGUUUUCUCUUGCGCAUCCUCUCUGAGUCUCUAAAAUAGGAUAGAAGGAAUGUAGUGCAUGCAUCCUACUUUUUUUUUAAGAUAGCCGGAGUGUCAAGGCACCUGGUGAAGGAUUAUAGUCACACUUGUUAGGCGGGGUUCGGAUCAGCAACGAAGGCGGUGUUGACCUACUACCGACCAAGUUGUCCCUCCCCAGCUCGAGUGUCCACUCAGGUAAGUCAGUCUAGACACAUAUCUCUAUUAGGCUUAAACUUAGAAGAACUGAAAAUUCAGAAUCUGGUUAUCCCUAUUAGGUGUUGCUUUAUUUGCAUCAUUUGCAUUUGACUUAGCGGGACUCGGCACAAAGGCCGGGUCUAUCUAGGACAGGUGACCUACUUUAUAAAGACCAACAUGUUCAUCCUAUGUGCUCUUUGACAUUUGUUUGGAAGGCUAUUUGUUUGUUGACUGGCUUUAGGCAACUUUAAAAUUCAAUAGAUUAAAUUAUCCUCACAUUUAGUGAAUCAUUUUUCAAAGAAAAAUUUUAUUUUUAAAAGAAAGAAAAAAUUUUAGUAACAUAGUUUCACGGUCUUUAUGAACUACGAGGGUCUGAUUCUCACAUCUUAGUGGGAUACAUAGGAAGUCCUCCUCAGGAUACAACCCUAUCUUUUGAAAAAUUAUUCAUAGAUUUAUUGGGUAAUAUUUUGAAAAUAUGAUUAUUUUUAUAAUUAUUUUUCUAGUUCUCCUGUCCAAUUUUUAUAUAUAUCUUAAUAGCCUUGAAUCUUUAGGGAUCAUGAGGCUAAGUUUUUACAAAAAUAAAAAUACAAAUAUAUAUUUUAAUAGCUUGGAAUCUUUAGGGAUCAUGAGGCUAAACUUUUACAAAAUAAAUAAAAAUAUAUAAAUCUUAACAGCCCUGAAGUUUUGUACGAUCUAUAUUUCAAAAACUACGCACACCUGAUUCUCAUCUUAAUGAGAUACGUAGGCAGUUCUUCAUGGAUUCGGUAGUCUUUAAAAGAAAAAUUUUGAACUCUGACACAUUAAUUUUCUCCAAAAUCAAAAUAGUGUGAAGGUGGUUGGUUUGUGGCUAAGUUGGCAUCUCACCAAUACAACACCAUGUUCAAAGAACAAGUAAGAUGACCCACAAAAAAUGAUAUAAGGUCUGAGAUGAGUUGGUGUAAAUUGUUAGAAAUGAGAAAUAAUAAGAAAUGAUCUGAAAAGUGAGAAAUUUGGAGCAAAAUAUGAGAAACAUGCAAAUAUUGAGAGAGAAAAAAGAGAGUUCUCACAAGAAUUUUUACAUGUUUCAAUGUUCACUUGCCUCUAAACUCCAUAACACCAAAGUUGGAUAUGUACGAGGGUCAUGGUGAUCCUUUGACUCAUAUGAAAAAGUUUUGUAAUUAAUGAAGAGGAGUAGGGGAAAAGAGAAAUUGUUGAUGGCUUACUUUGGAGAGAGUUUGAGGUGAUAAAUUCAAAAUGAUCGAGUUCAAAAAGAAAUAAAAAAGAUGAUAUAGCAAUGAUUGUGGAGACUCCAUUAAGGCCGACGUGCAAUUCAAUGGCUAAAAUAUUAAGUUCGGCAAUUUAAAAGUCAAUCUGCAUCCCUACGAGGAAGGAUUUUUGGUAGUCUUUUUUGUUUUCUUUCUACUACCUGAAUUAUUUCAAAGUUGGAAUUUGAGAUAUAUCUUAUCUUAUUUUAUUAUAAUUUCCAUUCAAAUCUUUCUAUCAUUUGGUCAACAAAUGUGUGUCCUUUUUAUUUUUAUUUUAUUUUUUAUUAUAUAUUGUUUUGUUGUCUUUUUCUUCUUCUUUAGAACUCUCUUUCUAUGAUGAUUCUAGAGAUGUGAAAUGAAUGUUGAAUUCACAGACUGAUCUUUAAAUCCAAUCUAAUCCUGAAACAUUUGAAAAGAAGAUAGAUUUGAAAGGAAAAAACAUAUAAGAAAAUAAGUAAAGUGUUCAGGUAUUUGGUGAGAUAGUUACAACCUCAUUUGAAUGUAUUGAGCCAAUCACUUUGUGAAUCAGGAAAUAACUUGAUCAUCGAUUAGAAGAUUCAAUUCGAAAAAUUGAAUGGGGUCGAUCGGAGGAUAUAGUAUCCACUAUAAGGAAAAACAAAAGGAAAUUAGCUCCAAAAGUGCAUGAGUCA